rnacentral:rRNA from 3 species
UUAUCGGAGAGUUUGAUCCUGGCUCAGGACGAACGCUGGCGGCGUGCCUAAUACAUGCAAGUCGAGCGGA